AGGCCCUCAAAGGGGGCUCUGGAAGGUGAAAGGAAAGGGAGGUAAUUAAAAGACAAAUGCAAAUCUAACAGCUCUAGGAGAAUGAAUGUGGUGUUUGCCAGCAUUCAGAGGUGUCUGGCUCUCAGGAUUGGUCCAAGCUCAAACCAGGGUACCUGAUCAGCCACUCUCAGUCAAUAGCAGCUAUAGGAUGCAACACGUCCUGGGUCUUCACCAGGUGAAUCACACUGGUAACUAGAAACUGAUCCCUUUUCAUGCCUGAAGUUUCUCGAUCGUCAUUGCCCCGUGCCUCCUAGGAACUGUUACAGGUUUUCUUCAUGUGGUCUUGCAGAGCAGCUGUUGCUCUACCUGAUUGAAAGUGAUCAAGCUGCAAGUGUUUUCCUCUCCAACAGAGACCUUGCAUAAGCUUUCAUCUCACUUUGAAUGACCAAUGAGUCACCUGAAUCAAGGCAGGCAACCCAGAAUCAGAGGUAAAGUGAUACUGCAGAUGAAUUUUAGCUGCCUGACAUAAAACUGAAUUUGAAAGCCAGAGCUGUGGCCCAAGUGCCUUCUGGCUUUUCCUGCAAUUUCCUCCUUCAAAAAAACCUGCUGACUUUUGCUCAUGACUUAAUUUCAGGUCUUCAUUUGGAACUGACUUAUAAGAUCGAGGUCUAAGCAGCAAUGCUUCAUGAAUAAGCUCAAGUCAUGCCAGUGAUAAAACAACACUCUGAGAGAAUACGAAGACCAGAAAAUCCCUGAUGUUUGAUGAAUAUCUGGGAGGAAAACAAAAAGUCCACAAAAUGGCACAUCUACUCCAAGAGAAAAGAAACCUCAGUGUGCUUUGUACCCGAACUGCCCCUAGUAUGUUCUUUCUGAAAGUAGCCAUGCCAUUGAAUAUGUCACAUGCAUCCUUCUUUUUCCGAGAAUUUGUACUCAAGGACAAAAUGCAGAAGCAGCUUCCAUUUGCCCACCUGUUCAUUUUCAUAUCCCAGACUGUCUGAAAGGUCUCCUUUUUCACUACAACAAUGAAAUAGUAAAUUACUGCGAAUGAUCUUGCCUACUCCCUAACAGUAAGGUACCAGUGAGAUGAUUGCACCUUGUGAUUACCAAUUCAGUGAGAAGAGACGCACCACCCCCACCCCCUCAAUAUUACCGAGAGCAACCAAAUGUGCCUGACGUUAAUUUUUACAUCAUCAUUCCCUGUGGGGUUCCACUGAUGUGAUAGCAUGUCACUGCAUAAAAUUCAGCUUCCAGUGACAUGCGUUUGCCACUGAAAUACACUGCUAUUAGCCCAGGAGGGUAAGGCCCCAUCCCUGAUAGCCUGAUGCGACGGAUGGCCAGUCCACUGGCAAGGGAACUGGGAGCCUUCAUGUGACAGGCUGCUCAGCAGCUCAAGCUGAACAGGCUGCAAUAUUUUAGCAUGCUGAGGAAAUGCCUGAGGGCAGGAGAGAAGGUGGCCAUCCAGCACCGACGAUUUAUGAGUCUUUCUGAAGUAUAACCCCAAGUAGAAAGUAUUUAAUGUGCAGUUUCAAUCACAGCAUCUGUUGUGGUAUGGUAAAAAUGUCAGGUGCCUCACAAAUUGGCUCUGAUUUUCAGGGGAGUUGAAGCUCUGGGCAGACGAGACAUUGGAGCGGUUUGGCUUUGUUUUGAAAUCCCAUGUUUUAAUCCAUUUGAUCCCCCAGUAUCAUUGGAAACCUGGUUGUGAGAAACUGGAGGAUGUGGGUUCUAGACAUUGAAAAGAGAGCCUUUUAUUUGCAAGCUUUUGCACUGCAAACCUAAAAAGGCAGGCCUGCUCUUAUAUGUCCUUAUAUGGUCAUGGCACAGCUCUGUCAAUCAAAUACACAAUCGAGGCCUUGCUGCAACGCCAGCGUUUUCCCAACACACUGUUGCAGUGUCACAAGACCUACCAGCAUGUGACUGACCGAUAAGCCCCUGUGAAGGAAGAAAGCUCAGAGGAGACAGGCGAGAGUGACUUGCCCAUGAAGCUCAGGGAAUAAUGCAGGCUGUGACUGUCCACAGCUGUUGCAAAGAAUGCUGACUUUAUCUCAACACACAGAGGGCUGGAAGGUGGCCUUUAUUUUAGAUAAACAGCUAUGUCAGUUGCGUGCAUCAGCUGGUAGUGUAACUAUUUCUCCCCGAGUUAAUUAAGAGAGAGUGACUGUCUCCCUGGUUUAGCCACACCAGCAUGGGGAGGAGUGUACACAUGACUCAGCACAACUGAAAUUAUAAAAACUAAACAAUUAACAGAAGAUUUUUGGAGAUAGCAACAGGCUUUAGCUGGAUUCAACCCACAUAUUCCUUUCCAGUGACUGGGGACACCCAGCAUCCUGAUGCCACCAGGAUACUGCCACUAUCGCACACUACGUGAGAGGUCAUGCUUUUGGACCAGCUUUCCCGAAAAUUGACUUUGGGGAUGUUCUAGCACGACAUGGAUGAAAACCCAUCCCUUUGUCACCCUGGUUUGCACGAACAAGUGGAUCCGGUCUGUUUCAAAGGGGCAGGAGGGCUCCCUGGCCUGACCAUGGCGGGGUGGCGGGGGG